AGAUGACUGGGUUUGACUUCUAGAACAGACGCGGCAAGAAGAGCCUGGAAUGAGGAUGAGCUGUGGAUUGACUUACAGGUCAAUGAAAAGCCAUUGGAUCACAAAACUCAGCCGGCCUUGCUCACAUGGACCCAUGGGAUUAUUUGUGCCACCAAGUCCUCCUUUGGACCCUAAGAAGGUCAAAGAGUUACAACGCUUCAUCACCCUUUCCAAGAAACUUCUAGUGAUGACCGGGGCAGGAAUCUCAACUGAAUCAGGAAUCCCAGACUACCGGUCAGAAAAGGUGGGACUGUAUGCUCGUACAGACCGGCGACCUAUCCAGCAUGUAGAUUUUGUACGAAGUGCUCCCAUCCGCCAGCGCUACUGGGCAAGAAACUUUGUGGGCUGGCCUCAGUUCUCAGCCCACCAGCCGAAUCCUGCCCACUGGGCUUUGAGCAACUGGGAGAAAAGAGGAAAGCUGCACUGGUUGGUGACUCAAAAUGUGGACGCUUUGCACACGAAAGCAGGGAAUCAGCGCUUGACGGAGCUGCAUGGGUGCAUGCACAGGGUCCUCUGCCUGAAUUGUGGUGAGCAGACUCCUCGGGGGUUGCUGCAGGAACGCUUUCAGGACCUGAACCCCAGCUGGAGUGCUGAGGCCCAGGGCGUGGCUCCCGAUGGAGAUGUGUUUCUCUCCGAGGAGCAGGUCCAGACUUUCCAGGUCCCGUCCUGCGUGCGGUGCGGAGGCCCUCUGAAACCAGAUGUUGUUUUCUUCGGGGACACAGUGAACCCUGAUAAGGUUGAUUUUGUGCACAGGCGUGUGAGGGAAGCCGAUUCCUUGCUGGUAGUAGGAUCUUCUCUGCAGGUGUACUCUGGUUACAGGUUUAUCCUCACUGCCCGGGAGAAGAAGCUACCAAUUGCCAUACUGAACAUUGGGCCCACACGAUCAGAUGAUUUGGCAUGUCUGAAACUGAAUUCUCGCUGUGGAGAGUUGUUGCCUUUAAUAGUUCCACACUGACUAUAGCCUGAUCCUCCUGAGCCGAAAUCUGGAACGCUUUCUUGAAUCCUGCUGCUGAAGAUCCCUAAGGAUUCAGCCCCUUUCCCUCCAACUAAAUUAAGCUCACUGCAAGCUAUAGAGGGCAGCAAGCUACCAUCUCUUCAACAGCCUAUCUCUGAACAGAUGAGAGUCAACCUCUGAAGAGACUCUUUCAAAGAAACAAUUGCUCUUGAUGGGAAAACUGCACUCAUUCCAUUCUUAUGUCACCCAGUAGAAGAAAUGGCCUGGGAAAUGUACAGACUGGCAUGGUCUUUGCAGUGCUAACCCAGAGAUUUCACUAAUUUGUGGAGUAGGGCUAGAAGGAAAUAACUUGACUUAUAAUUCCAAAUGGUUGUAUCUUUAACUGAACUAUUUUGAUAUAUUUUUGACAC